rnacentral:rRNA from 1 species
UACAGAGGCCUCGAGCGUUAAUCGGAAUCACUGGGCUUAAAGGGUGCGUAGGCGGCGCGGUAAGUCGGGUGUGAAAUCUCGGAGCUUAACUCCGAAACUGCAUUCGAUACUGCCGUGCUUGAGGACUGGAGAGGAGACUGGAAUUUACGGUGUAGCGGUGAAAUGCGUAGAUAUCGGGAAGAACACCCGUGGCUAAGGCGGCUCUCUAGUACGGUACUGACGCUGAGACGCGAAAGCGUGGGGAGCGAACAGG